rnacentral:rRNA from 1 species
GACGAACGCUGGCGGCGUGCUUAACACAUGCCAGUCGAACGGAAAGGCCCUGCUUUUGUGGGGUGCUCGAGUGGCGAACGGGUGAGUAACACGUGAGUAACCUGCCCUUGACUUUGGGAUAACUUCAGGAAACUGGGGCUAAUACCGGAUAGGAGCUCCUGCUGCAUGGUGGGGGUUGGAAAGUUUCGGCGGUUGGGGAUGGACUCGCGGCUUAUCAGCUUGUUGGUGGGGUAGUGGCUUACCAAGGCUUUGACGGGUAGCCGGCCUGAGAGGGUGAACGGCCACAUUGGGACUGAGAGACGGCCCAGACUCCUACGGGAGGCAGCAGUAGAGAAUAUUGCACAAUGGGCGGAAGCCUGAUGCAGCAACGCCGCGUGCGGGAUGACGGCCUUCGGGGUGUAAACCGCUUUCGCCGGUGACGAAGCGUGAGUGACGGUAAUGGGUAAAGAAGCACCGGCUAACUACGUG